AGAGUUUGAUCCUGGCUCAGAUUGAACGCUGGCGGCAGGCCUAACACAUGCAAGUCGAGCGGAAACGAGUUAUCUGAACCUUCGGGGAACGAUAACGGCGUCGAGCGGCGGACGGGUGAGUAAUGCCUAGGAAAUUGCCCUGAUGUGGGGGAUAACCAUUGGAAACGAUGGCUAAUACCGCAUGAUGCCUACGGGCCAAAGAGGGGGACCUUCGGGCCUCUCGCAUCAGGAUAUGCCUAGGUGGGAUUAGCUAGUUGGUGAGGUAAGGGCUCACCAAGGCGACGAUCCCUAGCUGGUCUGAGAGGAUGAUCAGCCACACUGGAACUGAGACACGGUCCAGACUCCUACGGGAGGCAGCAGUGGGGAAUAUUGCACUAUGGGCGCAAGCCUGAUGCAGCCAUGCCGCGUGUCUGAAGAACGCCUUCGGGUUGUAAAGCACUUUCAGUCGUGAGGAAGGUAGUGUAGUUACUAGCUGUAUUAUUUGAACGUUAGCGCCGGACGAAGCAUCGGCUCACUCCAUGCCAGCAGCCGCGGUAAUCCCGACGGUGCUGCACGUACAUCGCGACUUACUGGGCGUAAAGCGCAUGCAGGUGGUUUGUUAAGUCAGAUGUGAAAGCCCGGGGCUCAACCUCGGAAUAGCAUUUGAAACUGGCAGACUAGAGUACUGUAGAGGGGGGUAGAAUUUCAGGUGUAGCGGUGAAAUGCGUAGAGAUCUGAAGGAAUACCGGUGGCGAAGGCGGCCCCCUGGACAGAUACUGACACUCAGAUGCGAAAGCGUGGGGAUCAUCAAGGAUUAGAUACCCUGGUAGUACACGCCGUAAACGAAGUUCACCUUGAAGUUGUGACAUUGAGCCGUGGCCUUCGAAGCUACGGCGUUAAGUAGACCGCUUGGGGAGUACGGUCGCAAGAUAAACUCAAUGAUUGACGGGGCCCGGCACAAGCGUGAGCAUGUGGUUUAAUUCGAUGCAACGCGAAGAACCUUACCUACUCUUGACAUCCAGAGAACUUUCCAGAGAUGGAUUGGUGCUUUCGGGGACUCUGAGACAGGUGCUGCAUGGCUGUCGUCAGCUCGUGUUGUGAAAUGUUGGGUUAAGUCCCGCAACGAGCGCAACCUUUAUCCUUGUUUGCCAGCGAGUAAUGUCGGGAACUCCAGGGAGACUGCCGGUGAUAAACCGGAGGAAGGUGGGGACGACGUCAAGUCAUCAUGGCCCUUACGAGUAGGGCUACACACGUGCUACAAUGGCGCAUACAGAGGGCGGCCAACUUGCGAAAGUGAGCGAAUCCCAAAAAGUGCGUCGUAGUCCGGAUUGGAGUCUGCAACUCGACUCCAUGAAGUCGGAAUCGCUAGUAAUCGUGGAUCAGAAUGCCACGGUGAAUACGUUCCCGGGCCUUGUACACACCGCCCGUCACACCAUGGGAGUGGGCUGCAAAAGAAGUAGGUAGUUUAACCUUCGGGGGGACGCUUACCACUUUGUGGUUCAUGACUGGGGUGAAGUCGUAACAAGGUA
rnacentral:rRNA from 1 species